rnacentral:lncRNA from 1 species
CCCGCCACACCCUCCUCUCGGCCCCCAGGUCCCUCCAGGAGGCAACAAGACACAGUACGAGGAGAUCGGCAUUCCCGUGGCCCUGCUCAGCUACAAAGACAUGCUAGACAUUUUCAAGGUAGGGUUUCCCACGUCCUCUGGUCUGCGGCUGUUGCCAGGCCGUGAGUAUCUGGCGGGCAGGGGUGGGCAGGGACCCACGAGUGAGGCCGCCCACCCGGGGCCGGUGGUGACACUGACCCGUGGGAACGGAGACGCUGGCCCCAGCGGUCAGAGCGCCCAGGCUCCGGGGCCUCUGUGCCGAGCGGCAGCCGGACACUGGCUUCCGGGCCAGACCGGCCGGCCCCGCCCACACGCCAGAGACCCUGAGCUUGGCUCUCCCUGCCCACACACGGCCCCGUCUGACCAGAGGCCUGUGUGCACCCACCAUCGGGGGAGUUGUUGGUUCCAGAACAGGCGAGCUUCCAGACACAAUUAAAAUGGAAACGUUCAAUCUUUGUGGAAGCUUCUGGCAAUUUGCAGGACAUGUCUCGAUCCUGAUUGCAGCCUCACAGCUCCCCCAAGGGAACCAUUGUCGGCCUCCUGCAUGCUUCCCGGGACGACGUCCCCACUCCCGCACGCGCACACGCAUCUAGGUUUAGGAUUCGUGUCCCCGCACGCGCGUGGGCCCCUUCACCGGACGUCGUGUGACACUCGUUCCGACAGUUGACUUCUCUGGGGUGGGAGUGGCAGGCGAAGGCUCUCCCCGGGCCCCGGCUCCCCACGCGUGGGCUGGUCUGGGCUCUCUGGGUGGCCGAGGGGGCGGGACGGCAGCCCCCGCCUUGAGCUCUGGUGCCUUCCCCGAGGCAGAGUUUUGGCCGAUCGGCGAGGGCAGCGCUGUAUGCCCCCAACGAGCCCAUGCUUGACUACAACAUGGUCAUCAUCUUCGUCAUGGCCGUCGGCACCGUCGCCCUCGGGGGCUACUGGGCCGGGAGCCGGGACGUGAGGAAGUGAGUGUCCCGGGGAGACCUCUCCCUGGCCGCCCAGGGAAGCCCGUGACGCGGUCGGUGCCGGGUUGGGGGUCCGCGGGUGGUCCUAGCACUGGCCGAGGGCAUCGCGCCUCUUUCCAUCAAAAGCGGCCGUCACGGCUUGGCUCCUCCUGGGGCUGGGGCCCGCCUGGCAGCCCCUCGCCGCGUGGUCUCGCGAGGUCCCCGGGGUGGGGUCCGGCUCUCUCGUCGAAGGGACGGCAGGGAUGUGUGAUGGGCGUGGAGGGGCCGCCCCUCAGCCCCGCGGACGCCUGCGUCCUGCUGCCCCUGCCCGCCCCUCCCCGUCCCCGUGCCGGCCGGCAGGGUGCCCCUGACCCGGCUGUGCCUCCCAAGAAGGUCCAUGAAACACAAGCGGGAUGACGGGCCCGAGAAGCGGGAGGACGAGGCCGUGGACGUGACGCCCGUCAUGAUCUGUGUCUU